UUCCUCAUCGGAGCACUUGUUUUUUGUGGUGGGAGUAGAUGAAGAGAGAGUGUCACGCUGAUGAUCCAUAUGAUGAUUAGGAUGACGCUGAUGCAAUUUUCCAGUAACUGUAGAUGUAGAGGGAACAGUUUUGUCCUUCAACGCCCUUGACGUAGACGCUAAAGACUUGUCCAACUGCUUAUCUAAUGCAUCGUUUAUUCGCUUACCUCCAACCAUUUCCGAUUUGGAAGAACCACCACCACCUCGAUCUCUAUACAUUUCCUUUCUUUCUCUAUAACAAUAACUAUAUCUAUGUCUCUAUCAACGAAAUGGCGAGAGAUCGAGAAGAACUUUGUGUGUUCAGG
rnacentral:misc_RNA from 1 species